CUAUGGAGUCUAAAAGGAGGAGGCGAAUCGAACGCAAAAAUUAUGGGCCCAGUUUUUGAGAUCUAAAUGAAGUUCGAAAAUCGCCGUUAGGGGCGCUUGUGAUGAUUGGGAUACUAGAAAUACACAGCUUCUUAUGGCAAGAAUAACUAUUUUGUUAUAAAUUAUAGAGCCAAGUUAAUAUUUGGGCAUAUUUUUACCAGAGUUAGCUUUUAGAAACGUGGUUUUUCUAAUUGAGCAAUGUGCGUGGCUAAAAUUGUGAAUACAAAACCUUAAAUUUGAGUUUGAAAAUGCAUACACGACCGAAGAAACAUAUAAGCUGCUAAAAUAAAUCUUCCCUAGAACUGUUGUACAAAAAAGAUAGAAGUUCCAGCAACAAAUUUAUCACCAGUUCAACCUUUGAUUUGAUGUAAACAGUAAUUGUUUCUUGAUGAGAAAUGCGAAUGAAAUAGUUUAUGGUGUGAUUGUGUUAGUGUUUUAUUAAUAGUUUUGUUGAUGCAGUUUAAAGGUUCAUAGUUUUUCAUUAAAACAUUUGAAAUUGACAUGUUUACAUGCAGUUUAGUGUGAUACCAUUUUAAUAAACAUUAAAAUCUUUCGAACUAGUAGUGGUUUUAUGGCGAUUGACAGAUUGAAUAACGAAAAUUAAGAGUAUUUUAUCAGGAAUAACUUAAUCAUAAAUGGAAACUGAAGACGAACGUUACCAUUGCACCCUUUGAUCGGUGUUAUCUAUUCCAUAACUUUUUAUAGCUGAAACUAGAGAGUAGGUAUAUUGAGCUGAAACGUUUCCUGUGUUCAAUAGCGUUUUUUCUAGCGUUGAAUUGUAAGUUUUAAUGUCAUUAGCAAAGUUUUGCAAAUUGUCACUGUUUCGUAGACAAUUAAAUUCAAGAUAUAUUAUAUUCAAUGUCACCUAAUAAUUGUAAAGGUUUUUCUAUUGAUAUUCACUUUAUUAAUAUAAGGUAGGUUUGUAAAUAAAAUAUUAAUGAAUAAAUAAUGUACUCAGUUUAUUUCAAAAGCACAAAAAUACAGAGUUGUGAAUAUGUAUAUACGCUGACUUAUUUCAUCAUAUAAAUAUUUAUUUAGCAAUAUUAAUACAUUACAACUUUUGUUUCUAUUAACUAAUUCCACUAAAUUUAAUAAAUAAAAUAUACAAUAUAUAAAUUUAAUAUACAAUUUAGCACUUAGAUAUUAAAUAUCUAUAUGUACUAUGCCAAAAAAUAAAACAGGAACAUCAUAUUAUAUCAAGAACACAAAAAAUUACAAUUUAAAAAAAAUGCAUUCUAAAAAAAUACCUAGCUACAAUAUACCUACAUAUUAAUUUAAAGAGCUUAUUCAUAUUCAUAAAAACUAUUCUAAAUGGUUUAUAUACACAAUCAAAAGUAUCAACCACAAUACAAUAAUUUUCAAAUUAUUUCUUAUUAUUCCUCAA